rnacentral:rRNA from 1 species
CUCCUACGGGAGGCAGCAGUGGGGAAUAUUGCACAAUGGGCGCAAGCCUGAUGCAGCCAUGCCGCGUGUGUGAAGAAGGCCUUCGGGUUGUAAAGCACUUUCAGCGGGGAGGAAGGCGAUAAGGUUAAUAACCUUGUCGAUGACGUACCCGCA